AGAGUUUGAUCCUGGCUCAGGACGAACGCUGGCGGCACGCUUAACACAUGCAAGUCGAACGAGAGAAGAGGAGCUUGCUUUUCUGAUCUAGUGGCGGACGGGUGAGUAACACGUGAGCAAUCUGCCUUUCAGAGGGGGAUACCGAUUGGAAACGAUCGUUAAUACCGCAUAACAUAAUUGAACCGCAUGAUUUGAUUAUCAAAGAUUUAUCGCUGGAAGAUGAGCUCGCGUCUGAUUAGCUAGUUGGUAAGGUAACGGCUUACCAAGGCGACGAUCAGUAGCCGGACUGAGAGGUUGAUCGGCCACAUUGGGACUGAGACACGGCCCAGACUCCUACGGGAGGCAGCAGUGGGGAAUAUUGCACAAUGGAGGAAACUCUGAUGCAGCGAUGCCGCGUGAGGGAAGAAGGUUUUAGGAUUGUAAACCUCUGUCUUCAGGGACGAAAAAAGACGGUACCUGAGGAGGAAGCUCCGGCUAACUACGUGCCAGCAGCCGCGGUAAUACGUAGGGAGCGAGCGUUGUCCGGAAUUACUGGGUGUAAAGGGAGCGUAGGCGGGAUCGCAAGUCAGAUGUGAAAACUAUGGGCUUAACCCAUAAACUGCAUUUGAAACUGUGGUUCUUGAGUGAAGUAGAGGUAAGCGGAAUUCCUAGUGUAGCGGUGAAAUGCGUAGAUAUUAGGAGGAACAUCAGUGGCGAAGGCGGCUUACUGGGCUUUAACUGACACUGAGGCUCGAAAGCGUGGGGAGCAAACAGGAUUAGAUACCCUGGUAGUCCACGCCGUAAACGAUGAUUACUAGGUGUGGGGGGACUGACCCCUUCCGUGCCGCAGCAAACGCAAUAAGUAAUCCACCUGGGGAGUACGACCGCAAGGUUGAAACUCAAAGGAAUUGACGGGGGCCCGCACAAGCAGUGGAGUAUGUGGAUUAAUUCGAAGCAACGCGAAGAACCUUACCAGGUCUUGACAUCGUAUGCAUAGCUCAGAGAUGAGUGAAAUCUCUUCGGAGACAUAUAGACAGGUGGUGCAUGGUUGUCGUCAGCUCGUGUCGUGAGAUGUUGGGUUAAGUCCCGCAACGAGCGCAACCCUUACUGUUAGUUGCUACGCAAGAGCACUCUAGCAGGACUGCCGUUGACAAAACGGAGGAAGGUGGGGAUGACGUCAAAUCAUCAUGCCCCUUAUGACCUGGGCCUCACACGUACUACAAUGGCUGUCAACAGAGGGAAGCAAAGCCGCGAGGUGGAGCGAACCCCUAAAAGCAGUCUUAGUUCGGAUUGUAGGCUGCAACCCGCCUACAUGAAGUCGGAAUUGCUAGUAAUCGCAGAUCAGCAUGCUGCGGUGAAUACGUUCCCGGGCCUUGUACACACCGCCCGUCACGCCAUGGGAGUCGGUAACACCCGAAGCCUGUAGUCUAACCGCAAGGAGGACGCAGUCGAAGGUGGGAUUGAUGACUGGGGUGAAGUCGUAACAAGGUA
rnacentral:rRNA from 1 species